UACGAAGGGGGCUAGCGUUGUUCGGAAUUACUGGGCGUAAAGGGCGCGUAGGCGGUGUGUCAAGUCAGGCGUGAAAGCCCCGGGCUCAACCUGGGAACCGCGCUUGAGACUGUCACGCUCGAGUCCGGGAGAGGAUGGUGGAAUUCCCAGUGUAGAGGUGAAAUUCGUAGAUAUUGGGAAGAACACCGAUGGCGAAGGCAGCCAUCUGGACCGGCACUGACGCUGAGGCGCGAAAGCGUGGGGAGCAAACAGG
rnacentral:rRNA from 1 species